rnacentral:snRNA from 1 species
AGAUAUGAAGGUGAUCCAGCCUUGACAUCUGUCUCCCUAUUGAUCUCCAGGGUUGAUUUGGCUGAUCUGACUGGCUUGGCUGGCCUUCCCCUCCUCCAACAUCACUCCAUGUGCAUCCUUCCCAAAGCUAUAUAUUUGGUUGAAGAGGAUGAACUUCCUCGAACAGAGAAGGAACAUUCUUUAGGGUUUAGAACUAGUUUAGAUUCCAUGCUAGACCCUACAAAUAAAGCUCUCAAGAGUAACACUUCCCUAAAGACAUGCAAGGGAAGUAGAACAAGGUACUCUUGGCCACACCCUUGCAGAAUCUUUAUACAUAGCUAUUUAAAUAG